rnacentral:rRNA from 1 species
GACGAACGCUGGCGGCGUGCCUAAUACAUGCAAGUAGAACGCUGAAGAGAGGAGCUUACUCUUCUUGGAUGAGUUGCGAACGGGUGAGUAACGCGUAGGUAACCUGCCUUGUAGCGGGGGAUAACUAUUGGAAACGAUAGCUAAUACCGCAUAACAAUGGAUGACACAUGUCAUUUAUUUGAAAGGGGCAAUUGCUCCACUACAAGAUGGACCUGCGUUGUAUUAGCUAGUAGGUGAGGUAAUGGCUCACCUAGGCGACGAUACAUAGCCGACCUGAGAGGGUGAUCGGCCACACUGGGACUGAGACACGGCCCAGACGCCUACGGGAGGCAGCAGUAGGGAAUCUUCGGCAAUGGGGGCAACCCUGACCGAGCAACGCCGCGUGAGUGAAGAAGGGUUUCGGAUCGUAAAGCUCGGUUGUAAGUCAAGAACGGGUGUGAGAGUGGAAAGUUCACACUGUGACGGUAGCUUACCAGAAAGGGACGGCUAACUACGUG